rnacentral:rRNA from 1 species
AUUGAACGCUGGCGGAAUGCUUUACACAUGCAAGUCGAACGGCAGCACGGGGCAACCUGGUGGCGAGUGGCGAACGGGUGAGUAAUACAUCGGAACGUGCCCAAUCGUGGGGGAUAACGUAGCGAAAGUUACGCUAAUACCGCAUACGAUCUACGGAUGAAAGCGGGGGAUCGCAAGACCUCGCGCGAAUGGAGCGGCCGAUGUCAGAUUAGGUAGUUGGUGGGGUAAAGGCUCACCAAGCCGACGAUCUGUAGCUGGUCUGAGAGGACGACCAGCCACACUGGGACUGAGACACGGCCCAGACUCCUACGGGAGGCAGCAGUGGGGAAUUUUGGACAAUGGGCGCAAGCCUGAUCCAGCCAUUCCGCGUGCAGGAUGAAGGCCUUCGGGUUGUAACUGCUUUGUACGGUAACGAAACGGUUCGUACUCUAUACAGGGGGCUAAGUGACGGUACCGUAAGAAUAAGCAC